rnacentral:ncRNA from 1 species
AGGAGCCGUAUGAAUCGAGAGAUUCACGUACGGAUCUGUGAGAGUUGCGCCUUGCAAGCGCAUGAAAUUCAGU